rnacentral:rRNA from 1 species
GAUGAACGCUGGCGGCGUGCCUAAUACAUGCAAGUCGAGCGAACGGACGAGAAGCUUGCUUCUCUGAUGUUAGCGGCGGACGGGUGAGUAACACGUGGAUAACCUACCUAUAAGACUGGGAUAACUUCGGGAAACCGGAGCUAAUACCGGAUAAUAUUUUGAACCGCAUGGUUCAAAAGUAAAAGACGGUCUUGCUGUCACUUAUAGAUGGAUCCGCGCUGCAUUAGCUAGUUGGUAAGGUAACGGCUUACCAAGGCAACGAUGCAUAGCCGACCUGAGAGGGUGAUCGGCCACACUGGAACUGAGACACGGUCCAGACUCCUACGGGAGGCAGCAUUAGGGAAUCUUCGGCAAAGGGCGAAAGCCUGACGGAGCAACGCCGCGUGAGUGAUGAAGGUCUUCGGAUCGUAAAACUCUGUUAUUAGGGAAGAACAGAUGUGUAAGUAACUGUGCACAUCUUGACGGUACCUAAUCAGAAAGCCACGGCUAACUACGUG